GCAAGUCGAGCGAGACGGUUAUGAAAGAUUCUUCGGAUGAUUGAUUGACUAGACAGCGGCGGACGGGUGAGUAACGCGUGGAUAACCUGCCUUAUACUGGGGGAUAACGUUUUGAAAAGAACGCUAAUACCGCAUAAGCGCACAGGACCGCAUGGUCUGGUGUGAAAAACUCCGGUGGUAUAAGAUGGAUCCGCGUCAGAUUAGCUAGUUGGUGAGAUAAAAGCUCACCAAGGCGACGAUCGGUAGCCGGCCUGAGAGGGUGAAC
rnacentral:rRNA from 1 species